rnacentral:rRNA from 1 species
GACGAACGCUGGCGGCGUGCUUAACACAUGCAAGUCGAACGAUGAAGCUGGAGCUUGCUCCGGUGGAUUAGUGGCGAACGGGCGAGUAACACGUGAGCAAUCUGCCCUUGACUCUGGGAUAACUGCGGGAAACUGUAGCUAAUACCGGAUACUUUCACUGGAAGGCAUCUUCUGGUGAAGAAAGAAUUUCGGUCAAGGAUGAGCUCGCGGCCUAUCAGCUUGUUGGUGAGGUAACGGCUCACCAAGGCGACGACGGGUAGCCGGCCUGAGAGGGUGACCGGCCACACUGGGACUGAGACACGGCCCAGACCCCUACGGGGGGCAGCAGUGGGGAAUAUUGCACAAUGGGCGCAAGCCUGAUGCAGCAACGCCGCGUGAGGGAUGAAGGCCUUCGGGUUGUAAACCUCUUUUAGCAGGGAAGAAGCGAAAGUGACGGUACCUGCAGAAAAAGCACCGGCUAACUACGUGCCAGCCGCCGCGGUAA